ensembl:lncRNA
GCAGAAUCAGCAAGUGUGCUGCCCUACCACACAGGACUCGGGUUCUGCCUCCAGUGAGGCCACAUGCUGGGAGACCAGCACAGAGGGAAGGGGGUCCCCCCAUCGCUGUCACUCCCAUCAGAGUUCUCAGGGUCAGCAGGGGCUGCUCCGAGUCCCUGGCACAUCCCUCUCCUGUGGACCGGGCAAUGGCAGGGUCUGGCUCAGCUCGUCACAGCUCACGCAUGUCAAGUCUUCCUGCACAGUGGAGGCAAACAGCAGAGUAGAGGCUGAGGAACAAGGACACGAAUUUAAUUUAAGAGAGGGUCUGGGAAUCACAAGGGCCAUAGAGGCAAAAUGGGCUAAAGGAUGGAAGCGCUUGUGAACGGCAGGGGGCCUCCCAUCUGUUCCAGCAACAAGGAAACCGGCCCGGCUCUGGGGUCAGCGAGGCUACAGUGACAUCAGGAAAAGCAGGGCUGUGGUCCAUGUGGCUCUCUCCUGCUCUCCACAGGGGAAUGAGUGACGCCAGUGUUCUCACUGUGUUCUUCUGCUCCUGCCUUAUGCACACACUGAUGAAUACAUUCCCUUUAAGGUUUUGAACCUCAGCUUCUGCAGGAAAAGAGGCUACAUUUUGGUUAGAACGCUCAAGCCUCUUCCCAGGGGAACAAUCAUAGUCUCUUUGUCGGGAGUGGACUGUAGUGGGACAUUUGUACCCUGGACACUUAGACCAGCAACAGGAGAAAUGGGAGGGCCGAUGGCCCCUCUCAAGCACAGGCAGGUUAGAGCAUGCCCCAGCAGCUGUUCCCUAAGCCCACAGUACACACACUGUUGCUGUAAGCAGGAGCUCCCAAACACAUGUGUUUAUCAACAGUACUGGUGGCUCCAAGCUGAGCAGUAACAGCCUGACCGGGUGGACCACUGGGGUGCGCUGCCUGAAGGGGACAUGGAGCUUUCUCCCUGCAUGUGCACGGUGCUGUCCUGCACAGCUCCACCUCGCUUUGCUAGUAUUGUACACUGGAGUGGAACUUCCAAGGUGCCAAGAAACAAGAAUCUGCCCUCCUGCUGGGAAGUGCAGUCCACACACCCCCGCAAUGAUCAGUUAUACUCAUUCCACAGAAUCAUCGUCUUUAUACCUGGUAGGUGUCUAACUUGGACUUCACAGUUUCCUAGAUGCUGCUUCUUACGCCGUGUUUCAAUUUCAACUUGCUAAGCUCAGUUGCCUAGGAUGGAAGAAUUGCGUUUUUUGUUUGUCUGUGCUUGGAACCCAUGAAAGAACAUUGGAGUGGGAAGGAGGAGAUCUGGAGUACGUUCCCAAUCUAUCAUAACAUAAUUAUGUUCCCUUGGGAAUGUCAUAGAUAUUUAGACCCUUUUCCCCUUAUUAAUAUUUACAAAAUUAUCUCAGAUGAUUCCAAAUAUGAAGGGUCUCCAAAGUGCUGAUUUGAAGUUUGUGUUAUGAAAACAAUGUGUGGAUAGCUAAGUAUUUGUACACCAAAUUAAAUUUAGCUGAUGCAGUAACUUAUUUGAGAGGCAGGGUCUCAUACACUGGUUCACGCCGCAAAUUCCCAUAAUGGCUGUGUCUGUGUGAAGUCAAUCCAGAUCUCCCAUGAGGCUGGCAUAAGCCCAGUUACUUUAACCAUCCCGGCUGCUUCCCAGGGUUCUGCAUGAGUAGGAACCUGGAUUCAGGAGCUGGAGGUAUCAAACCCAAGUAGCGUGACAUUGAUACUGGCUUCUUAGUGUACUAACCAGUGGACAGUAAUCCCAGUCCUAACAUGUAUGUGUAGAACUUUUCAUCAUUUGUUUCUUAUGUAUUUAUUUAGAGAGAUUUUCCAUCUACUGAUUGACCCCCCAAAUGCCUACAACAGCCAGGUUGAAGCCAGGAGGCUGAAACUGUAUCUGGUUCUCCCACAUGGGUGCUACAGAACCCAGUACGGAGCAGUUACCUGCUGUUUGUCUGCAGGAAACCAGAACUGGGAAUGAAAGGAGGACUUGAGGCCAGGCAUUCCAGUACGGGGUGUGGGUGUCCCCACUGGUGCACCAAAUGCUGGUUCCCAGGGGCUCACCAAACGCUUGCUGCUACACUCGGCUCACACUCAUGGUAUCUGAAUUCUGUGCCGUAAUGGUUUGGAUGUCACUGGCGUUCUGACUGAAGACAGUUACACAUGAACGGUGUAGCUGCUCCCCAGCUCUACGUCCGGAGUGUCCUCCAUUUU